UACGUAGGGGGCAAGCGUUGUCCGGAUUCACUGGGUUUAAAGGGUGCGCAGGCGGGCGAUUAAGUCAGGGGUGAAAGACGGUGCUCAACAAUCGCAGUGCCUUUGAUACUGGUUGUCUUGGGUGACCUUGAGGUAGGCGGAAUGGGUGGUGUAGCGGUGAAAUGCAUAGAUACCACCCAGAACUCCGAUUGCGAAGGCAGCCUACUGGAGGUUCACCGACGCUCAGGCACGAAAGCGUGGGGAUCAAACAGG
rnacentral:rRNA from 1 species